AAGAGGAACAUGGAAAAAGAAGGGAAUAAUCUGUUUCAGGUCAAUCUUAAAGGUAUGAUUGCCCUGUUAUCAGAGCACAUUUAUAGUAACCCGAAUACUUUUGUUCGCGAACUGUUGCAGAAUUGCGUAGAUGCCAUCACGGCACUACGCAAUAUUGACGAGAAUUAUAAAGGUC
rnacentral:misc_RNA from 1 species